rnacentral:rRNA from 1 species
AUUGAACGCUGGCGGCAGGCCUAACACAUGCAAGUCGAACGGUAACAGGAAGACGCUUGCUUCUUUGCUGACGAGUGGCGGACGGGUGAGUCAUGUCUGGGAAACUGCCUGAUGGAGGGGGAUAACUACUGGAAACGGUAGCUAAUACCGCAUAACGUCGCAAGACCAAAGAGGGGGACCUUCGGGCCUCUUGCCAUCGGAUGUGCCCAGAUGGGAUUAGCUAGUAGGUGGGGUAACGGCUCACCUAGGCGACGAUCCCUAGCUGGUCUGAGAGGAUGACCAGCCACACUGGAACUGAGACACGGUCCAGACUCCUACGGGAGGCAGCAGUGGGGAAUAUUGCACAAUGGGCGCAAGCCUGAUGCAGCCAUGCCGCGUGUAUGAAGAAGGCCUUCGGGUUGUAAAGUACUUUCAGCGGGGAGGAAGGGAGUAAAGUUAAUACCUUUGCUCAUUGACGUUACCCGCAGAAGAAGCACCGGCUAACUCCGUG